UUUCCGUAGGUGAACCUGCGGAAGGAUCAUUACUAACGUAUCCACGUAUAAACCACAACAGUUGAAUUUUGUUCGAAAACAUAUUCGUCCGUUAGGCUGGGAAUGAGUUGAUUUGGAGAUGUUUUCUAUCUAUAUGAGAGAAAAUGUACAUCUCUGGUUGACUUCGGGCCUUCAUGGGCUUACCCUACCUAGUUCGCGAAUUAAAAUAUAUCAAAAACAUUACACUCAUAUUUUAACCCAUUUCACCCUAUUCUUUUAAAUGAACUUAACCUGAAUUCAUUAGAAAUAGUGAGUUUGAAAAAAUACGAAAUUAAGAACAACUCUUAACAACGGAUAUCUUGGCUCUC
rnacentral:misc_RNA from 1 species